rnacentral:lncRNA from 1 species
UUGACUUUAGAUGUGUUUGUAGAUGAGAAACUUGGCACACAAGCUAAUCACAUGUUGGUAGCUUCAAGAAUAAUUUAACUCUAUAUAGUAGCUGUGAUUGUCAUUUUACUUAUUCUAUAAUUCCUUCCACAAUAAACAUGUAUAGGAAAAUUUGAACACAGCAAAAGACUAAGUGCAUGAGUUUCACUUAUUAGGGUCACACAAUUAACUAUAUUCCGAACCACUAAAAUACUAAAAAAUACUACAAUGCUUCCUCCCAGUAACAAUACUCCUUCAUCAAUUGAUAACCACAAUGUACAACCCUGCACUCUCAAAAGACCGCUCAAAACUCAAUAAAUUCCAUCCAACACCAAGAAUAACAAACUUCACUCCAACCAAUCUGAAUUCACAGAAUUCUUAUAAUCAUAGACAUCCUUUGUUGAAACAUACACACACAACUCUCAAUAAACAACAAUCAUAAUCUUCCAUCCAUAAUCAAUCUUCCAAUAACUUCUCAUAUAAUUCAAUCACUCAGUACUCCAAUUACAUAAUCAAUAAUUCAUAAAUCAAUCUCUGAUUUAUUCCACACACUCACUUCUAAGUAUUCACAAACUAUCCAUUACUCUUCAACAACAAAGAAAACAAAAAAAAAAUAAAAAAUAAAAACAAAAACAAAGAGGAGGUACCAAGCUUAACCCCGGCUCAUGACUAUCACUGUCUAGCCCCCCGACAAACUUCUACAACUCCUAUAUAAUUGCUAUUAAUUUCCAGAUUCUAACCGUAAUCUUAUAAUAAUCACUUUUAAUAACUGAAUCAAUCAUCUGUCUUCCUAAACUAACUGUUCUAUGGACUAUUUGUUUAUUUUACCAAUAU